GCCAUUUGGUACUCACGUGCUCCAAAGGCUGUAUCAUGUGCCCAUACAGUCACAUCAAAAGCUUGUGCGUAUAAAGCUGACUUGCGAGUAUUAUAUAAGAGUUAUUUUGCAUAGUUUGUUGAGUUUAAGCAACCAAAUACAAACAAUAUGAUGUCUGAUGGGUGUUGACAAAUAAAACAAUUUCAUGGCACACUCAAGAAUAGGGGGAACAAAUCAAUAAUUAAACAACAUUGUGUCGUCAGUGUUUGUGUUGUAUCAGACACUUGCAAUUAACAUCAGGCUAUAUGAAAAACAACCUCAAAUGGAGUUAACAAGGUCUUUGGUCGGCGAAUGAGGAGAUCUGUGUUUUGUUUUACAAGCUCCUUUAAAUACAUAUCAUUGGUUAAAUAUUUCUAAAACCCUGUGAUUUAAAAUAUUAAUAAUGAAUUAUAAUAGAGAUAUGAAUUUUGGAUAGAUUUUCACGGCACAUAUACUGAAACGCCGCCCCUGGAGGAGGGGGAUCAGCCAAAAUGAGGUGCCGAAUAUGAUUUCAGAGGUACCGGAUCCGGAUCCGGCUUGUUCCAGCACAUAUUAAGCCCUGAUUGUUACACCCCUGCUAUUCUCUUAAAGUUUGCUGUCAAACAAAACACACUUUCUUUGUUCUGAGUGACAUCUGCUGGAGGAAACAAGAGUUACUGCUGAACUUAUUUGCUAAUAAUCUUUUGAUUUCUGUCUGGAUUUAUUGUUUUUAUACAUUUUAUACGUUUUCUUAUGCUUUAAUUGAUGUGUGUUUUCUGUUGGAUAAAAUGUUAACUGACUAUGUUAAAAUAUAAAAAUUCUAUGAGUGACUUUUGACAGCAAAUACUUUUUCAUUUCAAAUUGUUUUAUUUUCACGUUUAACUAAAAAAAAAAAAAAAAAAAAAAAAACGAACUCAGCAAUGACUCCAUUUACAAUAUCUAAAGAAAGGCAUGUUUAGCAAUAUUCUAUGAUGCAAAUAUUUUGUGAAGAACAAUGCAUGAAUGUGGUUAUAUGUGUUAAAAGUCAGCAGCAAAUUCAAGAAAAAUCUAACCACAGACAGCUAAACAAGAGACACUACAAGACUGAGAAACAGAUGAAGAGCUUCAAACAGAUAAAACAUCUAAACAGACCUGUAAAUGAAAGAAACCAUAACAGAAUAAAGUAAAAUAACAAGAGCAGAAAUAUGGAAAUAAACACAAUGUGACUGAUCUGAUUCAGAGAAAUAAAAGUUGUAUCAGUGAUGAUCAGAAGGGGUUUCAUGUAAUGAAAUAAAUGAGCUGCUAGUUCAUUCAGUGUGAAGACACAUAAUAAUAUAAGCAUUAAAACUAUUACAAAAGACAAAUGUCCAGAAAAUAAUCUUCAUAACCAUAACUGUAGAAAAUCUGGUUUAAUUCAUAUCUCCUGGUCUUAAUAAAUCUCAUGGUUUUAUUUGAUAAGAUCUGCUGUUGGCAGCUGAAAGCUGGAUUGAUGUGAGAAUCUGUGAGAUUAUGAAGUUAUUUCUCAUAGAUGUGAUGAUCUGCUGCUGCUCUCAUCAAUCUUCUGCUGUGUGUUCAUGUCCUUCUCUAAAUCUUCUCAUCCUCACUUUCUGAUCUUCCUGUUUCUUCCCUAAACACACCACAUCAUCAUAAUCAUCAUCAUCUUUACACUCUUAAUGUCUGGAUGUCAAAUCUAUAAUGAUGAUGAUAAAGGUCUUUCACCUGACGUGUGUCUCAUGUAGAUGUGAAAAGCUCCUAACAGACCGAACAGAACCAUCAGCUGAAGACACCAGACCACAACAAACACCACAGACAGAGACACUGAACAACACAAACACAAUCAACCGAUCAAUGAACGACAAUUAGACAGAAAACAAAACCUUCAUGUUUUAAGCAGUGACACGUUCUAAUGUCUGUGUGCUGAUCACUGAUAUCAACACACUUCACUGCUGAGAUCAAGCUGAAACAAACUAAAGACACUUC
ensembl:lncRNA